CAGUAGUUGAGAAAUUGAUCAAGAAGAUGCUAUGCAGGAAAAGAAACAGUUAGAAAAAACAGGAGUUGUGGAGCUAGAAGACUUCGGUUUGAAUCUUAGCUUUGUUUCUUCCUACCUUCUCAGGCUCAAGGUGUUUUUUUGUUUGUUUGUUUUUGUUUUUUUCCUGCAUUUCUCAGGGCAAUGGUUUCAUUUUUCCUAUGUAACUUUUUCUUUAAGAUGAGAAACAGGUCUGAUGUUCCAAAGCUCAAAGUUUCAAACGCUGGAAUAUACGGGUGUCCAGGGAGCAAUGGAAACAGUGGUCACAGUGCUGGUCUGGGAAUCUGAGUGCCUGAUCCCACCAGAGGACUUUGGAAAUGUAUGGUUCUGUACUUAGGAAGCGGCCAGCCUUUCUGGAGAUGGCUGUGAUUCUGGGAGAAAACAGCUGAAGAAAUAUAAUGGUUAGGUCAGGACCCACACCCAGGCCACCAGGCUGGCGAACCCCAAGGCCAAGUAAUAGGAGGAUAUAGAAUAGGAGGAGAAGGUUUCUGCUGUGGCACCUGGAGUGGUACUUGGUGCACGCCAGGUGCUAGACAAUGUGUGUGACAAGGAUGCACGUGAAAUGCCCCCCCCCGAGUGCCUCAGUGACUGCAGUAAAGUGGCCCUUGUCAUGGUCCUCUUCCUCUUUCUGCAUUCAGUCUUCAUGCUGGGCGGCAUGAAGAGAGAAACAAAAACCACCUUUCUUGCCAGGGUCUUAG
rnacentral:lncRNA from 10 species